rnacentral:rRNA from 1 species
CCUACGGGCGGCAGCAGUGAGGAAUAUUGGUCAAUGGGCGAAAGUCUGAACCAGCCAAGUAGCGUGCAGGAUGACUGCCCUACGGGUUGUAAACUUCUUUUAUACGGGAAUAACGCGCCUUACGUGUAGCUUUUUGCAUGUACUUUAUGAAUAAGGAUCGGCUAAUUCCGUGCCAGCAGCCGCGGUAAUACGGAGGAUCCGGGCGUUAUCCGGAUUUAUUGGGUUUAAAGGGAGCGUAGAUCGGAUGUCAAGUCAGAUGUGAAAUGUUGGGGCUCAACCCGAAAAUUGCAGGGGAUACUGGCAUGCUUGAGUACAGUGGAGGCAGGCGGAAUUCGUGGUGUAGCGGUGAAAUGCUUAGAUAUCACGAAGAACCCCGAUUGCGAAGGCAGCUUACUAAAGUGGGACUGACACUGAUGCUCGAAAGCGUGGGUAUCAAACAGGAUUAGAUACCCUAGUAGUC